rnacentral:rRNA from 1 species
GGACGAACGCUGGCGGCGUGCUUAACACAUGCAAGUCGAACGGAAAGGCCCUUUCGGGGGUACUCGAGUGGCGAACGGGUGAGUAACACGUGGGUGAUCUGCCCUGCACUUUGGGAUAAGCCUGGGAAACUGGGUCUAAUACCGAAUAGGACCACGCGCUUCAUGGUGUGUGGUGGAAAGCUUUUGCGGUGUGGGAUGGGCCCGCGGCCUAUCAGCUUGUUGGUGGGGUAAUGGCCUACCAAGGCGACGACGGGUAGCCGGCCUGAGAGGGUGUCCGGCCACACUGGGACUGAGAUACGGCCCAGACUCCUACGGGAGGCAGCAGUGGGGAAUAUUGCACAAUGGGCGCAAGCCUGAUGCAGCGACGCCGCGUGGGGGAUGACGGCCUUCGGGUUGUAAACCUCUUUCAGUAUCGGCGAAGCUCCAAGGUUUUCUUUGGGGUGACGGUAGGUACAGAARAAGCACCGGCCAACUAC